UCGGGAAUCUUGCACAAUGGGCGAAAGCCUGAUGCAGCAACGCCGUGUGGGCGAGGAAGGCCUUCGGGUCGUAAAGCCCUGUUGUUGGGGACGAAGGGCGAAGGGUUAAUAGCCCCUAGCCUGACGGUACCCUUCGAGGAAGCCCCGGCUAACUACGUGCCAGCAGCCGCGGUAAUACGUAGGGGGCGAGCGUUGUCCGGAAUUAUUGGGCGUAAAGAGCGUGUAGGCGGCCCGGUAAGUCUGCCGUGAAAACCUGGGGCUCAACCCCGGGCGUGCGGUGGAUACUGCUGGGCUAGAGGAUGGUAGAGGCGAGUGGAAUUCCCGGUGUAGCGGUGAAAUGCGCAGAGAUCGGGAGGAACACCAGUAGCGAAGGCGGCUCGCUGGGCCGAAACUGACACUCACAGGACGAAAGUUAGGGGAGCGAAAGGGAUUAGAUACCCCUGUAGUCC
rnacentral:rRNA from 1 species